rnacentral:piRNA from 1 species
UAGAUUCCGUGUUGGUGCGUGCUGAGGA